UACGUAGGGGGCGAGCGUUGUCCGGAAUCAUUGGGCGUAAAGAGCGUGUAGGCGGCUUGGCAAGUCUGACGUGAAAGCCCGCGGCUCAACCGCGGAUUGUCGUUGGAAACUGCCUCGCUAGAGUCCGGAAGAGGAGAGCGGAAUUCCUGGUGUAGCGGUGGAAUGCGCAGAUAUCAGGAAGAACACCCGUGGCGAAAGCGGCUCUCUGGGACGGUACUGACGCUGAGACGCGAAAGCGUGGGGAGCAAA
rnacentral:rRNA from 1 species